rnacentral:lncRNA from 1 species
GCACAGCUUUCUUAUACCAAUUAAGGACAUAAGCAAAAUGAAGAGUUUAAGGAAUUACUGGAACCUCCAAGAGCUCUCAUUGUAAUUGCACUGAUCCAGAUGGAUUGUCUGGGUGUCACCACAGCGUUAGAGUCGUUUUUCUAUUCCUGUUUUUACAAAAAAACAAGGGUCAUUGGCGAUGUGACAGGAUCCCUAAGUUCUCUUGGCCUCGGCGGAGAACCUCUCGCUCGACCACCCAUUUCUUAGACUGCAUUGCCAGUCCACAUUGGGACAGAGCCUGCUCUCAUAUGAAAUCCAUGCAUCCUUCAGUUUCCUGGCAAAGCCAAAGAGGAUGUGACGCUCAGGGACGCCUACAAUAGGAUAUUCUAUAGUCUUGGUAAAGGGGGGGUCACUCAAAACAAAAGGGUAUAUCAUCCCCAGGCAUAGAACUGAAGUGAUCUACCAGGGAAUUCCAGGGAGUACCACCCCUUUCACAGCUCGGGGCUGUGUCAUGCCCUGAGUAGAGACAAGGAAUGUCAGAUCGCCCUUCACCACCUACUAAGUAUCCACUAGGACAAAAAUGACCAGUGGAGGCAUCAGGACCAAGAAUUUGCACUGGGUAAUGGAUACCCAAAGAGGCAACAAAUUCCAUAGAAGACCAAACCUUACAAGAUGAAGAUAGAUUCGGUCAAUCUUUCAGUUCCGCAUUCCUAUUGGAGCAUAAAAUAACUUUUCAAGGGUUACGUCUGGACGCAAAGCCCGUCCCGUCAUGUCAUGUAUGUAGUACCAACGACAGUAUCGAAGCCAAGACCUUACCCAUAGGAAGACUCCAAAAAGGAAAUCCUUCCUCCCAGGCAUCUCAAUCUCAAAUAGAUCGCCCGGAAGAAGGCGUAACUCUUUUUUUUUGUGCCAUCUCCUGUCGAAGAAAAAAAAGAAGCCUUCCACGUAGCAAUGAACGGGAAGGCCUCGCCCCAGCCACCAAUUGGAAUGGUAGCGAAGGGUGGGUCCACAUAGCCCAGACCCUUUCUACCCUCGUACGUUGGAAAGAGCUACUUCCUUCCUGUCUUCGCUCCAACCCCCUCCCCCCGUCACUUGCAGUGUUUAGCUUCACGAUCGGAAUGGAAUGGAGUCUCUCCCAUGCUUACAGGCAAAUAAGCACCUGAGGGUAGUCAAUGAAGCCUCCUUUUCUAUUCGAACUCGACUUGACUACUUACGUUUCUCCUCAUCAUGAAGGAGGCCAAUCUCCCUCUUACCUUCCUUCUUCCAUCGCUUAUAUCAUUCUCAUCCAACAUCAAUCUCGGCUCGGUCUCUUUUACAAAGGAAUGUUAAGUACUGAGAUAGGUCGUUGAGGUCUCGUCUCUCAUCCCCAAAAAUGAAAAGCAAUCUUGAGUUUAAAAGAAAAGAGUCAACGAAGAGCACUUAUAAAGAUCCCCUAAGCCCGCUUCCAUUCCGAGAUUUACAUGCUGCUCUGACCUCACCUCAUUGCGCUCGGGCUAGGGCAUUCGAUGCAGCUCCUUCUCUUGCAUUUGACACCGUUAUUGAUUCAUUUCCUGCAAACAAGCAUUCUAUUCCGAAAGUGCGGAUUCGAGAACAGCCUAAGACAACAGGGUUUACGAACAGGGGUUAUUCCCGUAAGGAUGUAACUUUUAUGGAGCUAGUCUGUCCCGUAGUUCAAGCGUGAAAAAAGACACUAACUUCUUUCGAUUUCGAGUAUCAGCACCGGAUGAAAUAGCAAUUGCAGGGGAUUCUUUUCCAUCUAAAGCAGCAAGGCAGAUGGCUUCAAAGGCUGAAGACGGCUGGUCUACUUCCUGCUCGAUGAGGGUCAUCAGGUCGGGUGGUAAUCAAGGCAAAAAGGCUUUGUCUAUUUGCUUCUUUCAAAGAGCAGAAUUGACAUAUUAAAGGAUCCUAGUUCGUCGCUUCGAUUCCUAUUGAUUCACCCUGCUCGGAAAUUAACUCAGCAUUCUUCCUACCAGCAGUGCAUUCUCAAGCAAGAGAAGGGGCAUAGCGGUCAAGCAGGGUCGUAGCGAGAGUCAAAGUAAAAGAGGAAAGUGACGGUAAAGCCGCAUCUAUAGAGAUAAAAAUCCCCACAGCUGAUUCGAGAACAAGCCCAUGACGGAAUUCUUUCUUUUAAAUAGUCAUAUGAAAGGUAUCCCAACAAGGGGAAUGUGCACUAUCUGAUAUCAACUAAGCCACUUCGUCUCUACUCGAACCGUGAUUGACGUUCCCUCGUUCAAAUUAAGGCUAGGCUAUAACUGCGGUCUACUCGUUUCAUGUCUACCCGAAGGGUUCAACUCGUGCUUUGAGAGACUAUAACAUAGUUUCACUCGGCAAAUAAGAUAUAUUCUUUCUAACCGGAUAGGUUGCUGUUUCGGGGAGAAGGUAAGGGUCCAAAGGAGAAGGUAAGAGUACCAGCUGACUGACUUGUGUUCCAGUUGACUUUUGAAGGGCCUUUCUGCAGUGGCAAGCGUACAAUUCCAAUCCCCCAAUUACGCACCAGCCUAUAAAGGUAAUUAAAACGUGUUAUAGCGCUAAAUAAUGGGCAUAUCAUGAGAGUUCGAGUACCAGCUCAAGCAGUUCCAGCUUCUACUCUUCCUCCCGUUGCUGCUUGCUUGCCUAAAAUGAAAAUCCUUACUAGCCGAAGUAAGGGACUUUCUUACUGGAGCAUACAUAACGGACAAGGACUGAUAAGACUAUUCUUAGCCUGUUAUUCAAGAAUCUUUCCUCAGAAUGGACGAUGAAUGGAAGUGAGAUUGGAUUCACGUAUAUAAACUACAACUACAGAUUUUAUCCCUUUCUCUUAGGGAAUCUCGACUAGACGAGGGAGAUAUAAAGGCAACGUUGACGCUACGAAAAAAAAGGAAUUGCAUAAGUAAUGAAUGAGCUAAUUUCUUAUUAGAAGCCUAUUUGACUAGACAGGUCUCCUUUACCGGGGGGUUCCCACAGAGAAGUCUUGCUCUGGCUUGCCAAAAGCGUUUAAUAUUUAGAAUUAAGGAUGUCUUACACACUGGUGGUCUUGCGUAAUUGAACUAAGGCUUUUAACUAGCUUAGUGAAUCGAUUGUUACUAGUAAAAUAGUAUGUUUUUGUUGGCAGUGAGUAAAUCUUUGAUUCAGAGUCAGCGUAUAGGCCGACGUUCGAAGUUCCCUACUACUAAUUAGUCUUAGUAGCUAGGAAGCAAAUCCUGUAGUUAGCUCGAAACCUUGCAACCGGUCCUUUGUUAAGGCUGUCCGACUUUGACAUUACGUACACUUUCCGAAAAGCGAUGAAAGGGCAAGCUAUAGCGGAUCUACUGGCCGAGUCCAGCUUCUUACUUAGCCCAACUCAUAACCCCCUCGAUGAAACUAAACAAUCUGCGAAGCGAGCUUCUUCUAAGAAAUCUAAGUUGCACCGAAGCUCUUCGUCAUUGCCUUGGAUGCAGAAAUUUUCAGUCCAACAACUCGGUUGUCCAAUUUCUGCAGGUACUACCGCUUCUGCUCCAUAUGUAAGAAAAAAGGGAGUUUCUUGAGUUCCAGUCCGUAAAGAUUCGGCCGGUCUCACCCCCUAGGAAUACACUCAUUCCUACAUACCCAGGCCAUACAGUUAGAGCAUCUGCGCCCUUAUCGAUAGUCUAUUCGAGAGAGGGGACUGAUAUCACAUUUCCGGCUCGGGAUGACCCACCCUUAGGCAGGGCCCUUCGAAGAUCAAUAGUCGUUAAGUGAGCCGCCCAACGACUGGUGCCAAGGAAUGAAUUCGGUUAGACUACGGGAAUCGACGAUCUUAGAUCCCGGCGUCCGUCUUUACUUUAUAUGUAGAUGUCUUAUUUCUGGUUCCAAGAUUCACUCUCAUUUCAGGGGUGGCACGAGCUUGGGUUGUCGGCGGCGUGAAGGAUACGGUAGAAUGUUAUACUUUCUUCUAUAUAGUAUAGUCAUCUUCUCCAACAAGGAGAAAGCAUUGAAGGGCUGCUUCAGCGGAGUCAAGACAAGAGACUCAUGAAUAGAGGGUCGAAGGUGAAUUCCUUCUUUUUCCGCUUCUUCACCGGGUAGGUCAAGCUUAGCUUCUCGGCUUCAUUGCUGUCACCCGGUCGAUACUAUCGGAGCUUCUUGAUAGUGGGGUAGCUCUGAAACCUUUUCAAAAAUCCUCUACAACUGGACUUUCUUUUCACUCUGUAAGCUCGCUUGUCGACUCUCUUCCCGAGAGAAGAAGGUGAGACUUCCUUUCUCUCAUUGACGUCCCACAGCUUAAUACUUCACAGCGGAUUCUCUUUCUGAGUCUGAGCGCUAAUCUUCUUUUGACUGUACUUCCCGAGGGGAUAACACUUUGGUUGUUUUUUAAAAAGAUGCUGCUGAAAACUGCAAAGGCUAUGACCUAGAGUAUGAGCAGCUCCGAAUCUUGCCUCGUUCUUUUGCUUUCUUUGCUAUCCCCCUCAACCGGCCAUAACAUAAAAGGAAGAGUUUGAUUUCUUUCAUAAAAGCUAACUUUUCGACCAUAGAAGAAGUUCUUCUCAUACCUUACUAGCGGUAAGUCAACCUCUUCUUAAGUCCUAUAAAAAGAUCGAUGUGUAAAUAAGCUACCAUCGGACCGGACUGAACCCGGGCUUUCACUCCUUCUUCUAACGAAUAAUUCAUUCUAACCUUAUUCUCGAAAAUUAGUAAAGUAGCUAGUUAACCUUAGCGAGGCUGGCAGCUAUGAUGAACCCAGUUCUGUAGUAGAACGAUGUGUAGAUAGAUGGAUCGAAGUAAGCGGGGCAUGCCAGCUGUGUCGGUCCUUCCUCCACUUGUCUCGACUGCAUUGUCUUUGGUAUUCCCAAGCGAAUGUGAACUAUUUAACCAAUCAGUAGCAGAAUCCGAGAUAGGCGAAGGAAAUGAGGGAAUCUUUAUUUUACAUACCCGCCGGUUGAGUUACCCUCUUUGAGGGGAUUUAUCUUCUAUAAAGAAAGGAAUUGACAAAACCAGUGCCAUACACGCUUACUAUUCUAGUUAUCUAAGCUUACCUUUCGCUUCUGACUGAACGAGCCUCUCCUUUCAAGCCAUUAGCAUGAGCGUAGUCUUACUUAUUUGCUUGGCUCGGGUCAUAUUCAAAUGAAGCCGAAAAAUAUUUUCCUUUGGCAUCGAGACGCAUUACGAUAGCUAUAGCUAGGCCGGGUGGGAUUCUCUCUCUAUCUAAUGGUUAUGAAUAAAGUGAUGAAUCAAGUGGAUCCUUACCUCAGUAGCUGGGAAGGCAGGCCCUUAGCUUCAACUAGUUCAGUUUGAGUAUUUCUCAGGAGUAGUUGAAUUGCUAGUAGGCAGAAAAUCAGUAGUGCGUUAGCUUAUCUGUUCAUUUUCAAACAACCCUUGUUUGUGCUCCUUUAUCUUUCUAAGCCGCUCUCGCUAGCAGGGAAUCUAGUUCAGCAAGUUCCAUCGGGUGAGCUCGCUUGAAGCUGGGGCGCGUCUGGUGGUCUCGUAUAUAAGAGAAAGGCAACGCUUACUUUUAGUAUCUUUUUCAUCCAACAAGAAAUAUCGUAAUAAAGGAAAGGUAUGAUCGGUAUCUGAGAAGUGGUCAGUCCUUUAUCAUUUGAAUUUCUUUGCCGUGUGAAAUUAAAGAAAGACAGAGGGUUGCCCAGAGCAGUUCUCCCAGCAAGGGAGAUCCUAGAGGAAGAAGGGGGGAAAGCACAAGUUUUUACAUUCUUUCAAGUCAGAUCUUUCCUCCGGUCUUUCUCUAAAUAGCUUAGCUUAAACUUCAAAGCUUCCGGGCUUACCCUUUUAGUUUAGUUAGAUUGAAUUCUUCCCUAGAGGAGGGACGGUACUCAACAUUCUAAAUAGUAAGCAGCAAAGUCAGUAACGGGAAAGCCUUGACUGACCUAUAGCUUUUCGCUUCACCGGAAUCAGAUGCGAUGCUGUCGAUGAUCAAAUGCCGCGGAGUCGGCUUCAGUUAUAGGAUACUUAUUAUAUCACUGAAUCAUCUAGGGAAAAAGAGUCCUGCUAUUGUUACAUCUUUGUCUGGCGCUGGAAAGGUACCUUUCAGUUCAGGCCAUAAUCCUACGGACAAAUGGCAACUGGAUAUGUGUUUAGCACAGGAAAUAAAAGAUCAGAUGCCUAGCGCGGGCAAUGUAUUAGUAUAUCCUAACGGAGAAGAGUAGCUAUAGAGGGAACCCUAUUGGGUAAGUUUCUUUUCUUCUAUAGGCAAAUGUAUUUGUUAGGGUGCUUUGACGGAACGCUAAUGAAUAUGACAGUAGGAAAAGACCCUAGAUAAAGGUGGGGCGUCACUUCCUUUCGUUGCUUGUUGAAUACAGGAUGGUACGAAUCCCCGGGGAAAACUCAUCAUAAAGGCUUUACCCGCUCGUAGCUCCGUCGCCUCUUGGGCUUCAUCCAAUCCAACAUCUCCUGCCUUUGAUUGUGCGUUGGUGGGAACAAGAGAAUUUUCUCACUAAUCAAGGGGGCGUCACACUUCAUUAUUAUGAAUCUUAGUAUGUCUGGGGUGCCUUUCCCAAAGUCAGUGAAUGUCUGUGAUUAUACGAUACAAAAAAAAAAAAAAAAGUAACUGACAGACCUGAGAACUUAACUUCAAGAACUAUGAGUGAAACUCUAUCGCCUGAAAUUUCCAAAGAAAAGCAAGAUCAUAGAAGCACUGGAGGAUUCUCAGACCCGAGGGAUGUGAAUUCCUUCGUGAAAGAAUCUCGCUACAAGACUGAAUUGGAUGUAACUAGAAGAUAUCUUGAGACCACUAAGCAGAAGCCAGCCUAAAGAAACCCUAGUUUAAUUUGUUUCCCGCUGUAGGGCUAAAGCUUCAAUACAUUUGACCCAAAAAGGUCAGCUUAGCUUCUUUUCUUACCACAAAAGAAAAAAGCAAAAUUUGGAAUUGCUUAGGCAAAAGAAGGUGACUACACUUCACUCGAUAUCGAAUACUCAACAGACAGGCAGACCUGAUGAGAAGGAAGAAUCAAUUGCCAAUGCUGAUACAAAAGGAAACCCGUAACCGUCACUUAAAAACGGAAGGCAAUGAGCCGAGGCCAGGAACUACCGUGAGGGAAACUAACUAAACCCAGGGCAAAGCUUCCCCGAUUGUUAGAACUCCUUGGACCAUUGGAAGGCUUAUCGGAUUAGGCAGCUGAAAAGAAAAGGCUGAGACGCUAGGCUUUGAUUUCAUCAGUUUUAGGCCUUAGACGAGAGGGCUAUAGGCCAGUUUCCCUUAUAAAGAAAUGCACCACUUCUACAGACUGGACUAACAGAUGUAAUAUCAUAGGAUAUUAUUUUACCUUAUCUGACACGGACCAUUUCGAAUGAUAGCAGAAUGACUCAAGGCUAAGGCAUUGGGCCAAGCAAGAAUAAGAAGAGUAAAGCCUAAAUUCAGUCUAGACAGCGGUAUGGUAUGAAAUAGGUUAUGAAGCGCGGGAUCGCUCGACGAAGAAUCCGAGGCAGUUUGACUCAUCCGACUCAGAAUCCGAGUCCGACCCCGAUCCAUACUUAGUAGAGUGUUUACAAAGGUACUCCUAAUGUGCUUGAAGAGCAGCCUCCUUCCGUCACAUCCGAAGAAGGAACCAAAACUUGGAGGGAAGCUAUACCAGCUCUUUCAGUUCAAGUGCAGUUGACGAAGGAAGAAGGCAGAAAGGCUAUAGAAUUGUAUUACGACGCUAUGUCUAUGGAAAAAAAAAUCAGUCAUGAACCAAACCCCCUGUUUUCAGGCUCUCAUGAAGCCUUAGGGCGAAAGCUAUUAUUCCUCUAACAUUGGGAACUUCGCUCACUUCCUCAAACACUUGAGACUGAGGCGCAUUCGAAAGAAUACAUCUAUGACUAGAGAAUUAGGUAUAGGAAGAAUAGAUCUACGCUUCGAGCUGCUUUAGAGCUAAAGUAGUCUUUCCUCGUCAGCAGUCACGAGACUUUCUCUCUUCAAUUAAUGAAUUUAUGGCACCUUUCUUUCACCGAAGGUGCUUGAUAACCAGGCACCAGGCAGGAAUAUGAACCUUUUUCUAUAUCCAAUUAUGCUCAAAGCGAUCUUAGCCCAAAAGGCUUUACCAUCCGCUACUAAGAUGAGUUUAGCAGGACGUAAAGAAUGAAAAUGAUAGGACUCGGUGAAUACCAAUCCGAUAGAUAUCUCUCUUCUUAUUUCUAAGAAAGUCCGCUCAAUGGUAGCAUGAAAGCGGAUAACCAAGGUAGGGUAGGUCUUUGUCUCUCCGGGUAUGAGCUCCCAAAUCAUUUAAUUGAAUCCGGAGGUGACUCCGCUCCCUUUCUCAGUGAAGGAUGAGUUUUUGCCUGUGUUCACAUCUUCUCCUUCCUGGGGAAUAGAGACAGAGUUAAAUCAAUCUCCUCCAACAGCAGAAAAGAGAAGAGCGGAGGCGUAAACAAAAGCGCAUUUCCUCCACGUGUGCAUCAGCUUACAUUCCCAAUCCUUUCGAUUACUUCGUAGGGUCCCUAUGUACCUCGGGUUUAACUUACCGCCUUUCCCAAAACGGAUUACUCCUUUAGUGGGUGAAACCUUGAGAUAGACUUUAUCCCCAACUUGGAACUCUAAAGGUCUUCUCUUAAGAUCGGCCCAACUCUUUUGUCUAUCUUGGGUGGCUUUCAACUUCUCUUUGAUCACCUUAACCUUAUCUAAGGUUACUUGUAAAAGUUCGGGUCCCGUUACAUACUUUUCUCCAACUUCACUCCAAUACAACGGUGACCUACACUUGCGUACAUACAAGGCUUUAUAAGGUGCCAUUCCAAUACUACUAUGAUAGCUAUUGUUGUAAGUGAACUUAAUCCAGCUGUAGGGUUCCCUCUUGAACCGUGAUUCACUCUACCCACUGUCCCCUCGUCACAUAUCCCCUUCUCCAAGGGCUCUUACUGCUAAUCAGGUCGCAGCUUCCUUAUGGCAUCAUCGAUUAGGACAUCCCAGUAUGAAGACCCUUUUCUUUCUCCAGAAGACUGGUGUCAUCCCUUCUACACCUAAAUUAUUUAGUUCUUGUACUUCUUGUCAGUUAGGUAAAUCUAAGUCUUUACCUUUUAGUGACGUCGAACAUUUGUGUACUCUUGUGUACUCUACCCUUGCAACUAGUGCAUUCUGAUGUUUGGCUUUCUCCUGUUGUUUCUAAUUCUGGAUUUAAAUACUAUGUUUCUUUCAUUGAUGAUUUUUCUCGCUAUACGUGGGUAUUCCAAUGCGUGCUAAAUCUGAGGUGAAGACUUCAAAGCUUUCAAAGCACUCGUAGAAAAUGGAUUUUCCACUGGAAUCAUGAAUUGGAUUCGAACCAAUAUUAUCCCUUACGGGUGACUUCUCCGUUAGUCGAUCGUGACCCCACCCUCCCUCCUACGUCUUCUUAUUUUUCGUUGAUUUUUUCAAGUAUUGACACUAUCUCCUUAUAAAAACAACUAUUCUUUCCUUUUGUGCCAAUAUCCACAAGGAUAUUGCCGUAAUUUACAAUAUCUUCAUAUGUAUUAGUUACACCUCUAAACUUUCUGUCAAACAUUUCCUUAAUAGCCCAGUUCAAGCGGUUUGAAUGCUCAACCUUUUUUAGGUUUCCUUCUUUGUUGGCCGCUUGGGUAUAUAUCUCGACAAAUAGUUCCCUCAGCGUUUUAAUGAGGUUUGGCUGACAAGCGCUCGAAACAUAGCUUAGGGAAUGCCUUGAGCGAGCCGAGUGCGUAUCCCCUGAGUACGAUGUCCUAGAUCCAGCGCCAACCGAUCUAGUUGCUUUGGCCGGGCCAACCAUUGAUCUAUUCGACCGCUGUUUUUCCUUAAGAGAUGCCAGCGUAUGGUGGUCUAGCUGUCGUGUCACCUUUAGCCUUUAGUAAGUGAUAGAAUGCUUUUCUUCCUUUCAAUUGGGAUUUUUCUUCCUUAUCGCCUUAUCCCGUUCGUGAGGUUGAAGGAAGGAUUUCUUAGCUAAGGCUGGAUAUCAUUUAAGUAAGCCUUCUUUACUGCAUUAGAUGUAGCGCCUAUUGAUCGUGUCUUCGGAGGGUUGGAGAAGCGUUAAAUGCUCCUUUAGGAAAGAACUCCUUGCCAUCUUUACGCCUUACAUGCGGCAUAAGUAUAAGUAGAGGUUACAAGAUGAUCUAAAGUCCAGAAAAAAAGACUCUCUCCCGGUCGGUUUUGAUAGAU